rnacentral:rRNA from 1 species
UACAGAGACUGCAAGCGUUAUUCGGAUUCACUGGGCGUAAAGAGCUCGUAGGCGGCUGCUCAAGUCGAAUGUGAAAACUCGAGGCUCAACCUCGAGCCUGCAUUCGAUACUGGGCGGCUAGAGUCUGGUAGGGGGAUCUGGAAUUCCUGGUGUAGCGGUGGAAUGCGCAGAUAUCAGGAGGAACACCGGUGGCGAAGGCGGGUCUCUGGGCCGAUACUGACGCUGAGGAGCGAAAGCGUGGGGGAGCGAACAGG